AUGUCAAACUCCUCAGCCUAACGGUAGAAAACGGCUGUCCGCUAACAUCGCUAGCCGGAGGAGCAUUCUGUUGUUACGUUUCCAGCUAGCGGUAUGAAGUUGCCAGUUUUGUUUCCUGCAGAUGGUCGUGGAUAAACAUGCACAGAGCUCCACUACACUUCCUACACAGAGUCAGGGAAAGGUCACGCUCUAGCAGGAGGUGAAGAAGAACCUGAGGACAUUAAAGAGAUCACAGAACACAGAGGGGGCCAUGAUGACCCCAUCCCAGAGGAGCCUGCUGUUUUGCCUGCAAGGUAAAGAGCUGCGAUGCAGAGGAGUUUUUUGAUUUAAUCACCGUGCUCCACAGUGCACAAUGUGUACUAGGAGGAGAUGGCAAUUAUAACGCCCGUGCCGGCCUGCUGUCCUGCCCGUGUGGUGAUGUAUUCCCUGGGGGUGUCACAGGGAGACGGCGGCGGGGGCACUGCUACCAUGAAAGAGAGCAGAAAUCCCCCUGCAGACACACCAGGCUUAUCACUCUGCACUAAGAGCCAAUGACGAGCCAGAUCACUGGGGUGUGCCACACUUAGUUAGCGCCUCCGUUUGAGCAGAAUAAACACUUCAAAACAAGGUGCAGGGUAUUUUUGUGUUUUCUUUUGUGUGUACUUUUCUGCCAAUCCACAAAAUCCCGGCACCGCACUGACCCAGUUUACCUUCCUGCUUCAAAUCGAUUUGAUUACACAGCUUUGUGUACAGUGGUUUCACAUUUCCCUUAAUCCUCAUAUUAAUGCCAUUCUCACAGUCCAGAUUUAAAGUACCCUUUUGAUUGUAUUGUUUAUACUAAGAGGAGAGGAUACGGUAUUAUGAUACAAUAUUGAUAUUUCCAUAAAUAAGUACUAGUGCCAGCUCUCCCACAUACUGCAUUCGUCAGACUUCUUCGCACUGAGAGGAACUAGCUCAACAACUUUUCAUAUUGGAUCAAUCCUACAAGGAAUA